rnacentral:pre_miRNA from 1 species
GCGCUUAUCAACUGGAUGUGAAAUGCAUUUAUGAAGACAUAUCACAGCCAGCUUUGAUGAGCGUGA